rnacentral:rRNA from 1 species
GGCACAGCGAAAGCGUUAAGCAUUCCACCUGGGGAGUACGCCGGCAACGGUGAAACUCAAAGGAAUUGACGGGGGCCCGCACAAGCGGAGGAACAUGUGGUUUAAUUCGAUGAUACGCGAGGAACCUUACCCGGGCUCAAACGUAGAUGGAAUACGGUUGAAAGACUGUAGCCCUUCGGGGCCGUCUACGAGGUGCUGCAUGGUUGUCGUCAGCUCGUGCCGUGAGGUGUCGGCUUAAGUGCCAUAACGAGCGCAACCCCUAUCGACAGUUGCUAACAAGUAGCGUUGAGGACUCUGUCGAGACUGCCGGCGCAAGCUGUGAGGAAGGCGGGGAUGACGUCAAAUCAGCACGGCCCUUACGUCCGGGGCGACACACGUGUUACAAUGGCAGGUACAGCGGGAGGCCAUGUGGCGACACAGAGCAGAACCCGAAAACCUGUCUCAGUUCGGAUUGGAGUCUGCAACUCGACUCCAUGAAGCUGGAUUCGCUAGUAAUCGCGCAUCAGCCAUGGCGCGGUGAAUACGUUCCCGGGCCUUGUACACACCGCCCGUCAAGCCAUGGAAGCCGGGAGUGCCUGAAGUGCGUGAGCGCAAGCAGCGCCCUAAGGUAAAACCGGUGACUGGGGCUAAGUCGUAACAAGGUAACCGUAAGGGC